UACGAAGGGGGCUAGCGUUGCUCGGAAUCACUGGGCGUAAAGCGCACGUAGGUGGGUCGCUUAGUCGGGGGUGAAAUCCUGGAGCUCAACUCCGGAACUGCCUUCGAUACUGGCGAUCUUCGAGUCCGGGAGAGGUGGGUGGAACUGCGAGUGUAGAGGUGAAAUUCGUAGAUAUUCGCAAGAACACCAGUGGCGAAGGCGGCUCACUGGCUCGGUACUGACGCUGAGGUGCGAAAGCGUGGGGAGCAAACAGG
rnacentral:rRNA from 1 species